rnacentral:rRNA from 1 species
UACGUAGGGGGCAAGCGUUGUCCGGAAUUAUUGGGCGUAAAGAGCGUGUAGGCGGUCCGGUAAGUCGGCUGUGAAAGUCCAGGGCUCAACCCUGGGAUGCCGGUCGAUACUGCCGGACUAGAGUUCGGAAGAGGCGAGUGGAAUUCCCGGUGUAGCGGUGAAAUGCGCAGAUAUCGGGAGGAACACCCAUGGCGAAGGCAGCUCGCUGGGACGUUACUGACGCUGAGACGCGAAAGCGUGGGGAGCAAACAGG